rnacentral:rRNA from 1 species
UACGUAGGGUGCAAGCGUUAAUCGGAAUUACUGGGCGUAAAGCGUGCGCAGGCGGUUUUGUAAGUCUGUCGUGAAAGCCCCGGGCUCAACCUGGGAAUUGCGAUGGAGACUGCAAGGCUUGAAUCUGGCAGAGGGGGGUAGAAUUCCACGUGUAGCAGUGAAAUGCGUAGAGAUGUGGAGGAACACCGAUGGCGAAGGCAGCCUCCUGGGCCAGCACUGACGCUCAUGCACGAAAGCGUGGGGAGCAAACAGG